AUUACAGGCGUGAGCCACCAUGCCCGGCUGGAAAUCAGCUUUUUGAUUUUGCUAUUUCCAAGUGAGAUCUGAAGUGAGGCCCACAACCUCUCUGGCCCUUAGUCUUCCCCAGAAUCAAACAAUUUAGUCUCUGCACUUCCUUCUGGCUCUGGCCAGGGUCCUAAAGCUGCUCCUGCCCUUCCUAAGGCCAGUGGGUAUGGGUCAUCAGCUUCGUAAAACCUUUCUGCCUGGUGCCAGCACCUCCAGGGCUACAAUCAGCCUUGGUAUUUAACACCUGGACUUCCCUCCCCAGCAGGCCUGGAACUGAAAAGCAAGCAAACGCGUGCAAACCUUUUAUUUCUUCCACCUGUGACCUGGGAUCCUGAAAGCUGUGGAAUCCCGACAAGGCUCACCUGUCCCGGUGUCCAGGUCUUCCAGGCAGGACGGGCCUCCAUCAGACCUGUUCACAGGUCUGGCUGGUUCUCCCGAGCUGGGUCCGUCAUCAGGAUCUUUAAAGAAAAUCAAUGAAUGAAGCAAAAUGAGAGGACAGAGGGCUGCUGACUUAGUGCUGGGAAAAGCUGGCAUUCUUUCAAGCCUUGGGAUACAGCUGUGAACAAGACAGACAAAACUGCCUGCCCUCCUGGGAAGAGCCAGACCGUGGCCCAGGCAGGAAGUAAAUCAGAGGUCAGAUGGGCUCAGCGCUAUGGAGGAAAAACAGGUGAGGAAUCUGAGCCUCAGAGAGGGAGUGGGCUUUGUCCGGCAUCAUGACAGCGGAAGCCCACAGGCUAGGAUUUGAACCCAGCUCCUGAAGACGCCAGGGCCUUGCGCCUGUCCGCUAGCCAUUCCAGCCUGCUUCACAGCCACGCCUCCUGGCCCCUGCUCCAGGGCUCCACGACUACUGAUUAAAAGAACAGCUUUACCAUCUGGUUUAACCUGA